AGCAGCCGCGGUAAUUCCAGCUCCAAUAGCGUAUAUUAAAGUUGCUGCAGUUAAAAAGCUCGUAGUUGAAUUUCGGGAUCAAUAUGUCGGUCGUGCCUCGGUACGUACUGGCUUAUUGGUUUCUCCUUUCUGAAGAACCAUGAUGUCAUUUAUUUGGUGUCGUGGGAAAUCAGGACUGUUACUUUGAAAAAUUAGAGUGUUUAAAGCAGGCUCACGCUUGAAUACAUUAGCAUGGAAUAAUGAAAUAGGACGUUUGAUUCUAUUUUGUUGGUUUCUAGGAUCGACGUAAUGAUUAAUAGGGAUAGUUGGGGGCAUUAGUAUUCAAUUGUCAGAGGUGAAAUUCUUGGAUUUAUUGAAGACUAACUACUGCGAAAGCAUUUGCCAAGGAUGUUUUCAUUAAUCAAGAACGAAAGUUAGGGGAUCGAAGACGAUCAGAUACCGUCGUAGUCU
rnacentral:rRNA from 1 species